UUCUAACCUUCAGUCUUGUAUGCCAUUUCUUUAACUCUGCUUCAUUCCAUGUAAUUUCUUCAGAUUUCUCUUUCAAUCUACUAGAUAUACGUGCAGGAAAACCGUUAUACAAACUGAAAAGAUUCCAGCAAAUGAUCCCAGUACACUGUGAGGAAAUCAGUCAGGCUUCAGCCACACUCAACCAUCAAAUCUUCUGUCAAAUUUUGAAUAUCUACAUUUAAAUGCCCUGAACAUUUCAUCACAGAAGAUCUGGCACUGGAUUACUUUUCUUUUUUAUUUCUGAAAAAUUUGAACUGAUAGGAGUUUGGCCAAAAACGUGGCAUUGUGUUGAUAUACUAUUUAUUUUUCC
rnacentral:lncRNA from 1 species